AUAAUUGUAAAUAAAAUCUGCUCAAUGAUUUUAAAUAGCCGCAGAAUUUUAACUGUGCUAAGGUAGCAUAAUCAUUUACCUUUUAAUUAAAGGUUUGUAUGAAUGAUUUUACAUUUAAAUUAUUUUUUUAUUAAUUUAUAUCAAAAUUUAACUAAAAAUAAAAAUGUUUUUAUUUUUAAAAAAGACGACAAGACCCUAUUGAACUUUACUUAAGUUUAGCUGGGGCAGCUAAUUAAAUAUAACUUUAAUUCCACAAGUUUAAAUAAAUAUCUAAUAAAAUUAUUUUGAAUAAGUUACCAUAGGGAUAACAGCGUAAUAAUUUUUUAAAGCUCUUAUUAAAAAAAAAGAUUACGACCUCGAUGUUGAAUUAAACUAACUUUAAAACGCAAUAGUAUAAAAGUGGGUCUGU
rnacentral:rRNA from 1 species